rnacentral:rRNA from 1 species
CUUGGUCAUUUAGAGGAGUAAAAGUCGUAACAAGGUUUCCGUAGGUGAACCUGCGGAAGGACCAUUAUCGUACAAAAUGUGAGAGGGGCAUGCGAGGGCUGUCGCUGACUCAAAGUCGUGCACGCCCGAGUGUGUCGCCUCACAUAAUAAUCCAUCUCACCCUUUGUGCAUCACCGCGUGGGCACCCCUUUGGGAUCAUCUCGGAGGGGGCUCGCGUUUUCACACAAAACCCCCCUUUUAAAAGUGUAGAAUGACCUCAUUUAUGCGCUAACCCGCAAUCAAUACAACUUUCAACAACGGAUCUCUUGGCUCUCGCAUCGAUGAAGAACGCAGCGAAAUGCGAUACGUAAUGUGAAUUGCAGAAUUCAGUGAAUCAUCGAAUCUUUGAACGCACCUUGCGCCCCCUGGUAUUCCGAGGGGCACACCCGUUUGAGUGUCGUGAAAACCUCAACCUCCUUGGUUUCUUCUGGAGACCAAAGCAGGCUUGGACUUUGGAGGCCUUUGCUGGCACCUCUCGCCAGCUCCUCUUAAAUGAAUUAGCAGGGUCCUCUUUGCUGAUCCUCGACGUGUGAUAAGAUGUUUCCAUGUCUUGGUUUCUGGCUCUGUCACCUUUGGGACCCGCUUCUAACCGUCUUCAACCUUGCGUUGAGACAACGUUCGAGCAUGUCUCCCUUCUCGGGAAGCUCCCUCGACCCCACGAACCCUUGACCUCAAAUCGGGUGAGACUACCCGCUGAACUUAAGCAUAUCAAUAAGCGGGAGGA